AGCAGCCGCGGUAAUUCCAGCUCCAAUAGCGUAUAUUAAAGUUGUUGCAGUUAAAAAGCUCGUAGUUGAAUUUCGGGAUUAGUGCGCUGGUCAUGCCUUUGGUAUGUACUGGUGUUACUGAUUUCUACCUUCUAAAGAACCGUUAUGUCAUUUAUUUGGUGUGGCGGGGAAUCAGGACUGUUACUUUGAAAAAAUUAGAGUGUUUAAAGCAGGCUCGCGCUUGAAUACAUUAGCAUGGAAUAAUGAAAUAGGACGUUUGACCCUAUUUUGUUGGUUUCUAGGAUCGACGUAAUGAUUAAUAGGGAUAGUUGGGGGCAUUAGUAUUCAAUUGUCAGAGGUGAAAUUCUUGGAUUUAUUGAAGACUAACUACUGCGAAAGCAUUUGCCAAGGAUGUUUUCAUUAAUCAAGAACGAAAGUUAGGGGAUCGAAGACGAUCAGAUACCGUCGUAGUCUUAACCAUAAACUAUGCCGACUAGGGAUCGGAUGAUGUUAUUUUAAUGACUCAUUCGGCGCCUUACGG
rnacentral:rRNA from 1 species